UUGAACGCUGGCGGUAUGCCUUACACAUGCAAGUCGAACGGUAGAGGGCAACCCUUGAGAGUGGCGAACGGGUGAGUAAUAUAUCGGAACGUGCCCAGUCGUGGGGGAUAACGCAGCGAAAGCUGCGCUAAUACCGCAUACGAUCUAUGGAUGAAAGCGGGGGAUCGCAAGACCUCGCGCGAUUGGAGCGGCCGAUAUCAGGUUAGGUAGUUGGUGGGGUAAAAGCCCACCAAGCCGACGAUCUGUAGCUG
rnacentral:rRNA from 1 species